rnacentral:misc_RNA from 1 species
AAGUCGUAACAAGGUUUCCGUAGGUGAACCUGCGGAAGGAUCAUUAAAGAUUCUGGGCCCUUACCUGCCCAUUCUGUUCAGCUGUGCGCUUCGGCUGCACGCUGGAUGCAACACCUCACACCUGUGCACCAUUUCGGUUGCGGCUUCGGCCGCUGCCGCUUCAAAUGCAACCACUCAGUCUCGAAUGUCAACAAAACUAUAAAAAGUAACAACUUUCAACAACGGAUCUCUUGGCUCUC